rnacentral:rRNA from 1 species
AGAGCGAACGCUGGCGGCAGGCCUAACACAUGCAAGUCGAGCGCCCGUAGCAAUACGGGAGCGGCAGACGGGAUAGUAACACGUGGGAACGCGCCCUUGGUUCGGAAUAACUCAGGGAAACUUGAGCUAAUACCGGAUACGCCCUUACGGGGAAAGAUUUAUUGCCGAAGGAACGGCCCGCGUCCGAUUAGCUAGUUGGUGAGGUAAUGGCUCGACCAAGGCGACGAUCGGUAGCU